rnacentral:rRNA from 1 species
UACGAAGGGGGGCUAGCGUUGCUCGGAAUCACUGGGCGUAAAGCGCACGUAGGCGGGUCCUUAAGUCAGGGGUGAAAUCCCGGAGCUCAACUCCGGAACUGCCUUUGAUACUGGGGAUCUUGAGUCCGGAAGAGGUGAGUGGAACUCCGAGUGUAGAGGUGAAAUUCGUAGAUAUUCGGAGGAACACCAGUGGCGAAGGCGGCUCACUGGCUCGACACUGACGCUGAGGUGCGAAAGCGUGGGGAGCAAACAGG